rnacentral:misc_RNA from 1 species
GUAGUAUGGGGCUUCAGGAUUUGGAACCCACUCUCCGGAGAAUAUAUCGCAUUUCGUGGCUACUAGGACAUGAUCAUCCUUAGAACCAAGUGAUGAAGAGGGUGGUGACUUGGAAAAAUUUUGAUACAAAGGGUACCCUAGUAAAGGGUAACACAGAGGAAUGAUUGUGAGAAUAAGUAGGGCAAAGGUUCCUAGUAGGACUAAUAUAAUUGGUGUCUUUUGUAGUGUGUGAGUUUUGCCAAAGGGAAUAAACUCCAUAGCAUGAAGCUUCACUUGAGAGGGAGAGAAACAGAGGCCGGGCGUGAAGAAAAUUAGGAGAAAGAGACCAUGCUUUUGUAUUUAUUGAGAGAUUGAGACCUAUUGCUUUCGUUUCUAUGUUCAAAC